UGUAGGAAAGAAAGCUAACUAUAGUUAGAAGGCUGGAUUUAUUGACUGUAGCUUUACCAGUCUUCCAUCCAGUAAUGGCAUAAAUUUGAUGACGCAGUUAGAUAUUUUGUUUGCAAAACUGACCAUGUUUGUCUUCCCACAUCCUGGGUUACAUUCUUUCAUUCACACAAAGUUUAAGAGCUGGAUUGACCAUCAUAAUCGCCCAGUAUGGACCUGGUUGAAAACAUGUGGGACAAACUGGCCCCUAAUGAUCAACGGUAACCUAUUGAAUCGCAAGCCACUAUGGACCUGUUGCUGGGUCUGAACCCUCAUUGGACAGCUCUCCCACAAGACCUUGUGCGAUGUCUGUGUUGGUGGAGGCCUUGUAGAUUUCAGAUUCCUGUCAGGAGGAUCCCAAGACAUCAGAAAUGACCAAGAAGAAGACCUCCGGUAAAAGCGAGUCUGACGAGGACAGCUGAAGGCAG